UACAGAGGGGGCAAGCGUUGUUCGGAAUUAUUGGGCGUAAAGGGCGCGUAGGCGGCUUGGCAAGUGGAUGGUGAAAUCCCUCGGCUUAACCGAGGAACUGCCAUCCAGACUGCUUUGCUUGAGGCCGGGAGAGGUGAGUGGAAUUCCCAGUGUAGCGGUGAAAUGCGUAGAUAUUGGGAGGAACACCAGUGGCGAAGGCGGCUCACUGGAUCGACACUGACGCUGAGGUGCGAAAGCGUGGGGAGCGAACGGG
rnacentral:rRNA from 1 species